CCAUCUGGGCUACACAGGUGAUUUUGAUGGGUGCCGUGGAGGGUUACAGAGUUGCAGGCGGUCCACUGGGAGAGGUGACCGAUCCCAUUUACCCUGGUGGUAGCUUUGACCCAUUGGGUCUGGCUGAUGACCCAGAAGCCUUUGCUGAGCUCAAAGUCAAGGAAAUUAAGAAUGGUCGGUUAGCCAUGUUCUCUAUGUUCGGUUUCUUUGUUCAGGCCAUUGUUACAGGAAAAGGUCCAUUGGAGAACUUGGCUGACCACCUUGCUGAUCCUGUAAACAACAAUGCCUGGGCUUACGCCACCAACUUCGUUCCUGGAAAAUGAGCUUGUAAUUGAAAUUAAUGUGUGAUUUUCAGAUUUUAAUUCAAGGUGGCGGUGUGU
rnacentral:lncRNA from 1 species